GACGAACGCUGGCGGCGUGCCUAAUACAUGCAAGUAGAACGCUGAAGGAGGAGCUUGCUUCUCUGGAUGAGUUGCGAACGGGUGAGUAACGCGUAGGUAACCUGCCUGGUAGCGGGGGAUAACUAUUGGAAACGAUAGCUAAUACCGCAUAAGAGUAGAUGUUGCAUGACAUUUGCUUAAAAGGUGCAAUUGCAUCACUACCAGAUGGACCUGCGUUGUAUUAGCUAGUUGGUGGGGUAAUGGCUCACCAAGGCGACGAUACAUAGCCGACCUGAGAGGGUGAUCGGCCACACUGGGACUGAGACACGGCCCAGACUCCUACGGGAGGCAGCAGUAGGGAAUCUUCGGCAAUGGACGGAAGUCUGACCGAGCAACGCCGCGUGAGUGAAGAAGGUUUUCGGAUCGUAAAGCUCUGUUGUAAGAGAAGAACGAGUGUGAGAGUGGAAAGUUCACACUGUGACGGUAUCUUACCAGAAAGGGACGGCUAACUACGUG
rnacentral:rRNA from 1 species